CUGCCCAUGGCAGGGGAUGAGACUGGAUGGGCCUUAAGGUCCCUUCCCACCCAAACCAUCCUGGGAUUCUCUGCUAGAAGCUGACAGAAGAUCCAGGGGGACAGGAAAUACCAGGAAGUCUGUAGCACCUGAUGGCUCCAAAGUUAAUUGUCAAAGUCUUCAGGGUCACCUCUGCUGAAUAUUUGCCUUUUCCCUUCGUUUUUCCAUGAAAAAUGUUCUUUUCCCGUUUCCCGGAGCAUCCCAAGCCUGCCGUGGCAGCACACGUAUGGAAUGUGAAUGCCAUCUACUGGCUGCUGUCCCGGGCCUUGGAGCAGGUGUUCCCUGUCCAAACUCCAUCCAUCUGAUCCCGCAGGAAUUUCAUUGAGCACACAGUGAGUUGGCCCAGCUCUGCCUGCCAGGGACAGCGGAUUUGUUGGGACUCCCUUUUCCUCAGGGCUUCCAGGAUGUGCACAGCGAGCCCUGCACCCGGCUCCCUUCCCGGCACUGCAAUUCCUCUGGGAAUUCCGUGCCGAGCCCAGCUCCUGCAGAGUCCUGCCCCUCUGGAGGAGGCAAUAUCCAGGAUCGGGUCCUUCCUGGUGCUGGGUGUUUUCCCAAGCAGCUUUUCCCAGUCUCUCUCCCAUCUCCACGUGCUCUUUCCCCUGGAAUAACACGUUUCCUGUUCCCUGCCAGUGUGUUUUUCCCACCCUACGAGCCAAACACUCCCGCGAGGGGGAGGAUGUGACCCUUUUGGAAAGUCACUGCCUGUCAGUGUGAGCAUCCUGCUUUUAUUUCCCUGGAUUUGGAGCUCGUUUUUAGGCGGUGCCCACUGGGACAUUCCGCAAGCCCUGCGGGUCGCAGCGACGCGGAUCCCCCCCAGAAAUUCCUUUCCUACCUGUAUAAACCCGCCACAGGAAUCAGUGGCUCGUCCAGCGGUGCCGAUGGCUUUGUCAUUCCAGCAAAUCCAGCUGUUCCCGGCGGCGGCUCCAGCCGGGAGAGCGCGGGAUCCACGGGCGAUGCGCGGCGCGGGCUCCAGAGGGCCCCGCGCACCAGGAGAUGGACGGAGGGAGAAUCCCUGCGGAUUUUUCCCCACUGGGAAACCAGAAAGGCUGUUUGUGCAGUCCAGGAAGGAAGGACUCGAGGAAUUCACCUCAAGGAAUCCCUGAAAAUGCCCCAAGGCCAGGUUGGAGCAACCUGGGAUGGUGGAAAGUGUCCUGCCCGUGGCACAGGGGGGACUGGCUGGGCUUUAAGGUCCCUUCCAACCCAACCCAUCCUGGGAUGUGGAGAUGCUUCAGCUCCUGGAUUAAGGUAGAGCCUGGGCAGAAGGUUUCCAGUUCUGACUUUCACCCCUAGGACUGAAUUUCUGACUUUCAACAGCAAGGACAACAGAAAAACCAGUGUCUGCCCAGGGAAAUCCAGCUUUUCCAUGCCUCCUUCCUACCUGGAGACUCCAAGGAGAGUUGCCUUGAAGAGAAACACCAGACACGUUGGAUUGAGGCAUGAGGGGAAGGGGAAGGUGGGAGCGCAGGGAAUUCCUGGCCAGGAGCAGGGAGAUGCUGGCUCCCAUUCCCAGCCUGGAAUCACUCCCAGCUCCGGCUCCGUGGCACCCACCUGGGAGCGAUCAGGGAGCUGCUGGAAGGAGGCUCUGGAUGUGCUCCCUCCAUGGCACUGCUGGGUGCUGGGGGUGUCCCCCCCUUCCCUGCUGAACUGUCACAGCCAGGCUGGAAUCAGAAGGGUUUGGGGUUGUGCCAGCCCGUGCAAGGAGCUGCCCUGAAUCAACUCCCUGGGCAGAGGGACUCGCGUGGGGCUCAUAAAACCCCGAGCACCUUCUUGGCAGAGUCACAGUAAAUAAGACAGGCCUGGGAGGGAAAACACCAACUCCAUCUUGCUGGGAAAUGGGGCUUCAGCUUCAUCCAGUUUUUGGCCUCCCAAAUCCAGCAGAGCUCUCCAGGAGCAGGACAUCCAUGGACAGCACCACGGCACAGGGGGUCACUGCCCAAAUCUGCUUUCUCCUGGCAAGCUGAGUGUGCAGCCGGACACCUGCAAUCUCCAGGGAGCAGCUCAUCCAAAGGAUGCUUUGGGAAGGUGUGGCUGGUGUCUGGGAAAAAGGCACCAUCGUCAUGUUUGUACCUCCCCAACCUACCCACUGAAGUGUUUAGGAUUCCCACUGGAUCCGCUUUGCCUCUGGAUGAUCAUCUCCCAAAACAUCUCUGCUCUCGGAAAGCCUCAACAGAAUGUUCUGCAAGAGCUGAGCAGGGAGCAGUUGGAGACCACAGCUGUGAGUGGCCGGGCAGAGCUCCCUGAUCCACCGGGGUGGACCGACGGUGCUCUGAGGGUGAAUGGUCUCACCUGUCCAACUGCCACGGAAUCCCAGGAUCACUGAGGCUGGAAAAGAUCUCCACGACCAUGGAGUGCCCCCUGUGCCCCGUCCCCACCUUGUCCCCCAGCCCAGAGCACUGAGGGCCACAUCCAGUCAUUCCUCAGACACCUCCAGGGCUGGGGACU